GAAUGAUGGAAGCAUGGUAAUGUGUACAGAGAUCAAUGGUAUACUAAUGUUUGCUCGCUUUGAUUUUGCAAGCCUAGAAUCAGUCCCACAUCU
rnacentral:snoRNA from 1 species